GCCAGCGGCUAUAUCACCCUGCAACUCACAACUGGCGACCCCACUGAAGCUCAGCAGGUGUGAGCCUGGUCAGUACCUGGAUGUGAGACCUCCUGGGAAAAACUAAGGCUGCUGCUGGAA
rnacentral:rRNA from 1 species